rnacentral:rRNA from 1 species
GAUGAACGCUGACAGAAUGCUUAACACAUGCAAGUCAACUGUGGCGGACGGGUGAGUAACGCGUAAAGAACUUGCCUCACAGUUAGGGACAACAUUUGCAAACGAAUGCUAAUACCUGAUACUGUGAGAGAGCUUUGCGUCCCAUUAGCUAGUUGGAGAGGUAACGGCUCACCAAGGCGAGGAUGGGUAGCCGGCCUGAGAGGGGGAUCGGCCACAAGGGGACUGGUACACGGCCCUUACUCGUACGGGAGGAAGCGGUGGGGAAUAUUGGAAAAUGGACCAAAGUGUGAUCCAGCAAUUCUGUGUGCACGAUGAAGUUUUCGGAAUGUAAAGUGCUUUCAGUUGGGAAGCGGUAACAACAGAAGAAGUGACGGCUAAAUACGUGCCAGCAGCCGCGGUAAUUC